UAGUAACUCACUAGCAUUUCGUUAUGUCUUGAGAAAAGAAAAGAAUAAAUUAAGAUAAACUUAAAAGGAAUAAAAGAAAAAUGGCAAAGAGAAUGUGAUUCUUGUUCAACCAUUUUGCCAUGGAAGUUCUUUUCUUUACAAGCACUCCUACCUUCUUUAAAAAUCUCUCUCAACGGCUCCAAAUUUACAUUCUAAAAAUGGGGACACAGAACUACAAUAAAGAUCACUAACUAUUUUUAUUGCUUAUUUACAUUCAUUAAUUCUCUCCUGACGCCGUGGGAGUUCAUAGUGACACAAGAUUUCAUUUUUAAGGUUGAGAGGGUGAAUGAAAGGCACACAUGUUUUGGCAUGGAUCAAGGAAACCGUUGGCUUCCCACCAAGGAAAUACCGAAGGAAAGCAACCGACUUUUGCAGUUUUAAGCGCCGGAAAUACCACAUCAAGAAGCAAUGAAUAUGUGCUUUACUUAUGUUGUUUCUCUUUUUGAAAUCCUUCUGACCAAUCACCAAUGUCCCAGCUUUAUCUAUCCAAUUACUUUUUCUUCAUCAACUCUAGACUAAACAUCUCUCAUUCACCCAACAAGAGGAGGAAAAAAGAAAACAUUGAAGGAGAAAGAAGAAAAGAAAAUCAGCCAUGGAACUGGAAUUGGGACUCAAGAUCGCCAAAACGAGUGAUGAUCUCACUUCCAUGGCCGAAUUUCAGUUUGCGAAAGAUCGAACGGGUCCUGUUUUCUUGUCUGGUGAAGAUGACAACAUGUUCAUCCUCACUGUCCACCUCAAAGGGGCUUGACUAUUUAUCUAGAGUGUGGCAAUUCGAAGGCCAUGGCUUUGUACCAAAUUAUUCAAUUGAACAUCUGGUGCUACGAUUGCACAAAUCCAUGGUGCUGCUCAUGGUGCCACCACUUUGAUAAUAAGAUCUAUGAUGGGGAAAUGAGGUAUUAUAGCAAAG